CCUACGGGAGGCAGCAGUGAGGAAUAUUGGUCAAUGGCCGGAAGGCUGAACCAGCCAUGCCGCGUGAAGGUCAGUGCCCUAUGGGCGUUAAACUUCUUUUGUGCGGGAGCAAUAAUGGUCACGUGUGGCCAGACGAGAGUACCGUACGAAUAAGCAUCGGCUAACUCCGUGCCAGCAGCCGCGGUAAUACGGGGGAUGCAAGCGUUAUCCGGAUUUAUUGGGGUUAAAGGGUGAGUAGGCUGUGAGGUAAGUCAGCGGUGAAAUGCCCCCGCUCAACGGGGUGAAGUGCCAUUGAUACUGCCUUGCUGGAAUGCGGAUGCCGUGGGAGGAAUGUGUGGUGUAGCGGUGAAAUGCAUAGAUAUCACACAGAACACCGAUUGCGAAGGCAUCUCACGAAUCCGCGAUUGACGCUGAUGCACGAAAGCGUGGGUAUCAAACAGGAUUAGAUACCCCAGUAGUC
rnacentral:rRNA from 1 species